rnacentral:rRNA from 1 species
UACGAAGGGGGCGAGCGUUGUUCGGAUUUACUGGGCGUAAAGGGCGCGCAGGCGGCUCAUUUUGUCAGGCGUGAAAGCCCCGGGCUUAACCUGGGAGGUGCGUUUGAUACGGAUGGGCUAGAGUUCGGGAGAGGAGAGUGGAAUUCCCAGUGUAGAGGUGAAAUUCGUAGAUAUUGGGGAGAACACCGGUGGCGAAGGCGGCUCUCUGGACCGAGACUGACGCUGAGGCGCGAAAGCGUGGGGAGCGAACAGG